AGAGUUUGAUCAUGGCUCAGGAUGAACGCUGGCGGCGUGCUUAACACAUGCAAGUCGAACGGUCGCAAGACAGUGGCGCACGGGUGAGUAACACGUAGCUCAUUUGCCUUCGGGUCUGGAAUAACGUUCCGAAAGGGAUGCUAAUACCGGAUAAGCUCCCGCGCUGUAGAAGCGUGGGAGAAAAGAUUUAUCGCCUGAAGAGAAGGCUGCGGCCCAUCAGGUAGUUGGUGUGGUAACGGCGCACCAAGCCGACGACGGGUAGGGGACCUGAGAGGGUGAUCCCCCACACUGGGACUGAGACACGGCCCAGACUCCUACGGGAGGCAGCAGUGAGGAAUAUUGCGCAAUGGGCGAAAGCCUGACGCAGCGACGCCGCGUGGGUGAUGAAGGCCUUCGGGUCGUAAAGCCCUUUUCUGCGUGACGAGACAAGGACAGUAGCGCAGGAAUAAGUCUCGGCUAACUACGUGCCAGCCGCCGCGGUAAUAC
rnacentral:rRNA from 1 species